GUUUGAUAACCAUUAGGAUGGGAUUACGUUUCGGCCGUAAUUUGGAAGUAGUUAGCUUCUAUCAAAGG
rnacentral:tRNA from 1 species